AAGAUGGCGACAGCUGAGCCGAGCAGCAGAUAAACUUUAUCGGCUGUGAGUGACCGUUAGACACCAUAGAAGAAGAAGAAGAAGAAGAAGAAGAAGAAGAAGACUCGGUGCGUCUCCUCCGGAUGUUGAUCUCCUCCUUAGACCGGAGCUCCGGCUAAAGUUUAGUCUGCUCUCCGCGCUGACUCACAGGUGAGUCCUGAGGACGAGGCUCGGAGGAGGAAGAGCACUGAAUGUGUGAGGACCAAACCUGCAGAGAGGGUGAAUAGUUUUCAGCGCUGAUGUGCGAGGCGUUUCUGUGGAUGUAGUCCGCUGUGGAACAGCUCACCUUUCAGGUACUAACACUUUUAUUACCUUACAUCCUCCAGUACCUGUUUUUACUUUAAAUAUAAAACACAUGUUUUAUUUAGAAAAUCAGCUCAGAGAGGAAGAGAAGGGUGAGGGGUGUGAGAUGAAGAAAAAAAAGGAAUGACAGUAUGAGAAAGAAAGGAGAAAGUAAGACUGGAACUAAGUCCAGGUAGAAAAGGAGAGAGGUGGAGAACCAGUGGAAGAAGAAAAGAAAGUAGACGGACAUGAUGAAAUAAGUGAAUGAGGGCAGAAAGAAGGGAAUAAAUAAUAGAAAACAGAAGAACAAGGACACAAAGAAGGGAAUGUGGAAAAGAGAAAAUGUUACAAGAAAAGAAAGAAGAGGUGACGAGAGCUGCAGCAUUCAAGGAUGUGGUUAGAAUGAGAGAGUCCUCACAAAUACACUAAUAUUAUUCAGUGACGUGUGUGCGUGAGGCAAGGCACGUUUAUUUGUACAGCACAUUUCAACAACGAGGUAAUUCAAAGUGCUUCACAUAAAACCAUUAAAAGCAUCAAAAC